AGAGUUUGAUCCUGGCUCAGAAUGAACGCUGGCGGCGUGCUUAACACAUGCAAGUCGCACGAGAACGCUUCAGCUUGCUGAAGUAAGUAAAGUGGCGCACGGGUGAGUAACGCGUGGGUAAUCUACCCUCAAAUUGGGGAUAACCCGCCGAAAGGCGGGCUAAUACCGAAUGACAUCUUGAAAACCUAUGUUUUCGGGAUCAAAGGUGGCCUCUACAUGUAAGCUAUUGUUUGGGGAUGAGCCCGCGUACCAUUAGCUUGUUGGUAGGGUAAUGGCCUACCAAGGCUACGAUGGUUAGCUGGUCUGAGAGGAUGAUCAGCCACACUGGAACUGACGCACGGUCCAGACUCCUACGGGAGGCAGCAGUGAGGAAUUUUGCGCAAUGGGGGAAACCCUGACGCAGCAACGCCGCGUGAGUGAUGAAGGCUUUCGGGUCGUAAAGCUCUGUCAAGUGGGAAGAAUUCACAUGGUGUUAAUAUCGCCAUAUGCUGACGGUACCACUGAAGGAAGCACCGGCUAACUCCGUGCCAGCAGCCGCGGUAAUACGGGGGGUGCGAGCGUUAUUCGGAAUUACUGGGCGUAAAGAGCGCGUAGGCGGUCUUUUAAGUCAGGUGUGAAAGCCCGGGGCUCAACCCCGGAAGUGCACUUGAAACUAAGAGACUUGAGUAUGGGAGAGGGAAGUGGAAUUCCUGGUGUAGC
rnacentral:rRNA from 1 species